CCGUUAUUUUUAAAUCUUUUCCUACUACUUCUAAUGUUUGGUAUGUCUGCUUCUAUUGACUUUUCUAUGGACUUUUUUCUUUUCUUUUAAAACUUUUUUUAAUGUUUAUUUAUUUUUGAGACAGAGACAGAGCAUGAGUAGGGGACGGGCAGAGAGAGAGAGGGAGACACAGAAUCCAAAGCAGGUUCCAGGCUCUGAGCUGUCAAUGCAGGGCUUGAACUCACAAACCAGGAGAUCAUGACCUGAGCUGAAGUGGAAUGCUUAACCAACUGAGCCACCCAGAGUAGAAAAAGAGACCUAAAAGCCAAGAGUCACCACCAACAGAGGCCUUUUAUGGUAAAGAGUUACCAAGCAGCAGAGUGAACCUGACAAGAUCCACAGUGGGUGAUUGCUGGCCUUCUACCUGAGCAGACAGUCGGGAGUCUAGGGAUGAGCCAGAGAAGCAGAAGAUGCAUGAUGGCCGCUUGGGGUCAAUGGAACGUGAACAAGGGCAAGUAGUGACCCAGGAUGGGGACUGGGGAAAUGCUGAACUUGUGGAAAAAUGCAGCUUCAAUUCAGACUUUCUUUCUGCACAGAAAUUUCUUGUCAAAGAAUAUUUCUGUCAAAUUGACUCAGUUCAAAGUUUCCAGCAUAAUUUUGUUUUAAAAAAUUGUCAGGAAAUCUUGGUAGUGAAGAAAGCUUAUAAAGGCAAUCCACAUGGAAAAGCCUUAGGAAAUCUGUAUAAAUUGAGCAUGGUAAAUAUACCAACCAGAGCAUAUACCUUUCUACACAUGAGAUUAUUAAUGUAGGAAAUAAACCCUAUGGCUUUAAAGAAAGUGGAGAUUUUUUUUACCCUUAGCUCAUGCUUCUCUCACUUCGUGAGAACUCAUACUAAGGAGAAACCCUAUGAAUGUAAUGCAUGUGGGAAAGCCUUUAAGAAACUUUCAUCUUUUUCUUACCAUCUGAGAAAUCACAAUAGAGAGAAAGCCUAUGAAUUUAAUGAAUGUGGGAAGUCUUUCUGGAAGAGCCUUCACCUCAUUUUGCACCAGAGAACUCACACUGGUGAGAAACCUCAUGAAUGUAAUAAAUGUAGAAAGUCUUUUAGCCAUAA